GGGCGUCUAAAGUAACUAGUAAUUACAUUUAACAACUCUUCCGAGACUACCUGCUCAGGCUAAAUAAACACAAAACUUGAUGGUGCUCUACCCUACUUAAAGGAGCCUGUCCUGUUUCGAUACCAAUAAACCCUACCCCUACCUCACCAUCUCUGGCUAGCCUAUAUAAUAUACUGCCAAGUUAACAAAAAAACAAACAG
rnacentral:rRNA from 1 species